rnacentral:antisense_RNA from 1 species
GAGAUUUAAAAGGGACAGGAAAAUCUGGAAUAGCAUCUUCAACUAAAGAUGUCAAAGCACAAGCUCACUUCCCGCGGAAGGUAGCAGUUACUAUUAUCUACUUGACAGCUACAAGAACCUAGGCACAGAGGUUAAGUGCUCUGCAAAUAAUACCAGCCAGUGGUGGUAGUAUUCGCCAGAACCAAGUUCUUGCCUUCCAGUGGACACCAUUGACCUCUCAAGAUUAUUCUUUAAGUUAAAAAGAAAUGUGAAAUCUCUUAGGCCAAGAAGAACAACCUGAGGACUCUCUUUCUGGAGGUAAUUGAACUCCUUUAAUAAAUCCAGAGGAGAAAUCUGAGAUCAGUACGUCUUUUGUUUCUAUGAUA